rnacentral:lncRNA from 1 species
GCUUUCAGGAGGAUUCCUUUGGGGAACAGACAUAUGUCCAUCAGAAGGAGGGAAAUCCACACCAGCAGUAAGAUGAGCAGCAGCAGGUCUCUUCCCCUUGUUAAAAUUUGUACUUUGUGGAUACCCAUGAAUCUUGAAACACUUAUCAAUUAAGUGUCCAGAUUUUUUACAGUAUCUGCAGAAUAAAGGCCCUCUGGCUUGAUCACAGUUCUCCUCCCCUUGUUAAAUGUUGUACUUUGUGGAUACCUAUGAAUCUUGAAACACUUAUCAAUUAAGUGCGCAGAUUUUUUGCAGUAUCUACAAAAUAAAGGCCCUCUGGCUUGAUCAAAAUUGACUCUUUGUCUGAAAAGAGGAGAAGGA